ensembl:rRNA 5_8S_rRNA 5.8S ribosomal RNA
GACUCUUAGCGGUGGAUCACUCGGCUCGUGCGUCGAUGAAGCGCAGCUAGCUGCGAGAACUAAUGUGGUGCAGGACACAUUGAUCAUCGACACUUGAGCGCACCUUGCGGCCCGGGUUCCUCCCGGGCUACGCCUGUCUGGCGUCG